rnacentral:lncRNA from 13 species
UCGUGUGCUUUCCGCUAACAUUAGAAUAACACUGUUGAGGAAGGUGCCUCUCUCUGGGAACACGGCGCCCUGUUCAAAAUCAUGUCAACAUAGUCUUCUUUCGCUGUGGGGUUGUGUGAAUCAUAGACCUCAAUGAAUUACAAUUUUUUUUUUAUUAAGCACUUCCUGUCUUAUUGUUUGAAUGUCUCAGCUGUGCUAUUGUUAAUCUUUUCUCUCUCUCUUUUUUUUUUUUUAGAUCCGAUAGACAAUGCUGUUCAUCAUGGGGUAUCUGCUUACUUUAGCAGCCAACCAGAGAACCUCCUGAUGAGGCUUCAAUGACAUGCUCCAUUACUCUUACCAAGCGACCCUUGACUUCACCUCCCUGAUGAAUGUAGCCUCUGACUUGGGGAGUGUUGAUGCCAGGUUAGCUGUCCCUUUUUCCUCUCUCUCUCUCUAACUCUGUUUUUUUUUGUGUGAAUCUUGGUGCAGGGUCUUCGGUGAUACGACAAUAUUAUAUGAGACGGAAAAGGACGUUAUGAGAUGACAGAUGUUAUGGAGCGUGUUAUUUGAGGUUUGGUCUCUUUCUCGCUCAUAAAUCUGUUUAGAAGGGAGCUGUCGCGCAGGCACUCAUACAUCCUCCAACUGGGUCACAUUAUUACCACUCAAUUAGUAGAUCCAGUCUCAGUUUUCAGCACUGUGGCCCUUCACCCUGGUUCCCACUGGCCAGAGAAGAGCUCAUCAGAGAAGGCUACGUCUGGGUGAGCUGCUGGUAUGCUGGAGGGAGAAGCCCCAGAUAUAGGCAGCUCAGUGAAAGUAUAGAGGAUAGGCCAUCCAAGAGGGGCUCAGUAGAGAGGAACCAGUGCCUGGAGCAGGUGCUUUCCAUCGCGGUCUUCCUCUAUGUUCAUAGGCAUCUGUAGGCACAUAAAAACACCAGGCUGACAGUCCCUGUCCAUCCCUUAGCCCUCAUCCAAUCAUGGGGAUGCCCCUUAAUGUCUUUGUCGUUGUUUUUUUUUAAUAAUGCUAACUGACUUUGUGUCUGGAAGGAUGUUCUUUGGAAGGACAGUCUCUCUGAUCUACCCACUUCCUUGUUUUGUCAUGCCGCUCAGGGUAGAUGAUUUGUUUCUUUCUCGAUUAUUGAGUUCCUUGGGAUAACACGUAGAUGUGUGGAUGAAGUCUGUGAGGCAACUUUCCGGGAAACAAUGAUCAGAUCUGAUCAAUGAGCUUCAGAUUGAUGAUGUAGCGUUCAGUGUCUAAUGACCUGUCCGAUUGGAGGAAAAAUGGGGUCAAAGGUCUUCAGAUUGAUGUCGGUGGAGUUCCUGGUGCCACUGUGUGUUCUAUUCCUCAGCAGGGAUAAGCAACGUUUAUUUAUUUAGUGUGUUCUGUACAGUAUAACCAUCGGAACUCGAGUUUUGGCAUGUCUUCCAAGAAGACGUGCAUAUCACCAAGAGUCGAUAGUGUGAUCAUUUUGGUGGGAACAUAAAAAAAAAAAAAUUAAAUAAAAAAAGCUCCACUACAUUAGAAUGUUAUUACAAUACCUGCAAUAAUGUAACGUUGUAUAG